rnacentral:rRNA from 1 species
ACAGUCACACGUAGUUGAUCCUGGCUCAGAACGACGCUGGCGGCAGGCCUAACACAUGCAAGUCGAGCGCCCCGCAAGGGGAGCGGCAGACGGGUGAGUAACGCGUGGGAAUCUACCCAUCCCUACGGAACAACUCCGGGAAACUGGAGCUAAUACCGUAUACGCCCUUCGGGGGAAAGAUUUAUCGGGGAUGGAUGAGCCCGCGUUGGAUUAGCUAGUUGGUGGGGUAAUGGCCUACCAAGGCGACGAUCCAUAGCUGGUCUGAGAGGAUGAUCAGCCACACUGGGACUGAGACACGGCCCAGACUCCUACGGGAGGCAGCAGUGGGGAAUAUUGGACAAUGGGCGAAAGCCUGAUCCAGCCAUGCCGCGUGAGUGAUGAAGGCCCUAGGGUUGUAAAGCUCUUUCAACGGUGAAGAUAAUGACGGUAACCGUAGAAGAAGCCCCGGCUAACUUCGUG